UACGUAGGUGGCAAGCGUUGUCCGGAUUUACUGGGCGUAAAGCGUGUGUAGGCGGACCUUUAAGUAGAAAGUGAAAGGUUGGUGCUCAACACCAACACUGCUCUCUAUACUGGAGGUCUUGAGUGUCGGAGAGGAAGAUGGAACUGCACGUGUAGCGGUGAAAUGCGUUGAGAUGUGCAGGAACACCAAUGGCGAAGGCAAUCUUCUGGACGAAAACCGACGCUGAGACACGAAAGCCAAGGUAGCAAACAGG
rnacentral:rRNA from 1 species